rnacentral:rRNA from 1 species
AGCGUACACGGUGGAUGCCCUGGCAGUCAGAGGCGAUGAAGGACGUGCUAAUCUGCGAUAAGCGUCGGUGAGGUGAUAUGAACCGUUAUAACCGGCGAUUUCCGAAUGGGGAAACCCAGUGUGUUUCGACACACUAUCAUUAACUGAAUCCAUAGGUUAAUGAGGCGAACCGGGGGAACUGAAACAUCUAAGUACCCCGAGGAAAAGAAAUCAACCGAGAUUCCCCCAGUAGCGGCGAGCGAACGGGGAGGAGCCCAGAGCCUGAAUCAGUGUGUGUGUUAGUGGAAGCGUCUGGAAAGGCGCGCGAUACAGGGUGACAGCCCCGUACACAAAAAUGCACAUGCUGUGAGCUCGAUGAGUAGGGCGGGACACGUGGUAUCCUGUCUGAAUAUGGGGGGACCAUCCUCCAAGGCUAAAUACUCCUGACUGACCGAUAGUGAACCAGUACCGUGAGGGAAAGGCGAAAAGAACCCCGGCGAGGGGAGUGAAAAAGAACCUGAAACCGUGUACGUACAAGCAGUGGGAGCCUCUUAAUGGGGUGACUGCGUACCUUUUGUAUAAUGGGUCAGCGACUUAUAUUCUGUAGCAAGGUUAACCGAAUAGGGGAGCCGAAGGGAAACCGAGUCUUAACUGGGCGUUAAGUUGCAGGGUAUAGACCCGAAACCCGGUGAUCUAGCCAUGGGCAGGUUGAAGGUUGGGUAACACUAACUGGAGGACCGAACCGACUAAUGUUGAAAAAUUAGCGGAUGACUUGUGGCUGGGGGUGAAAGGCCAAUCAAACCGGGAGAUAGCUGGUUCUCCCCGAAAGCUAUUUAGGUAGCGCCUCGUGAAUUCAUCUCCGGGGGUAGAGCACUGUUUCGGCAAGGGGGUCAUCCCGACUUACCAACCCGAUGCAAACUGCGAAUACCGGAGAAUGUUAUCACGGGAGACACACGGCGGGUGCUAACGUCCGUCGUGAAGAGGGAAACAACCCAGACCGCCAGCUAAGGUCCCAAAGUCAUGGUUAAGUGGGAAACGAUGUGGGAAGGCCCAGACAGCCAGGAUGUUGGCUUAGAAGCAGCCAUCAUUUAAAGAAAGCGUAAUAGCUCACUGGUCGAGUCGGCCUGCGCGGAAGAUGUAACGGGGCUAAACCAUGCACCGAAGCUGCGGCAGCGACACUAUGUGUUGUUGGGUAGGGGAGCGUUCUGUAAGCCUGUGAAGGUGGCCUGUGAGGGUUGCUGGAGGUAUCAGAAGUGCGAAUGCUGACAUAAGUAACGAUAAAGCGGGUGAAAAGCCCGCUCGCCGGAAGACCAAGGGUUCCUGUCCAACGUUAAUCGGGGCAGGGUGAGUCGACCCCUAAGGCGAGGCCGAAAGGCGUAGUCGAUGGGAAACAGGUUAAUAUUCCUGUACUUGGUGUUACUGCGAAGGGGGGACGGAGAAGGCUAUGUUGGCCGGGCGACGGUUGUCCCGGUUUAAGCGUGUAGGCUGGUUUUCCAGGCAAAUCCGGAAAACCAAGGCUGAGGCGUGAUGACGAGGCACUACGGUGCUGAAGUGACAAAUGCCCUGCUUCCAGGAAAAGCCUCUAAGCAUCAGGUAACAUCAAAUCGUACCCCAAACCGACACAGGUGGUCAGGUAGAGAAUACCAAGGCGCUUGAGAGAACUCGGGUGAAGGAACUAGGCAAAAUGGUGCCGUAACUUCGGGAGAAGGCACGCUGAUAUGUAGGUGAAGCGACUUGCUCGUGGAGCUGAAAUCAGUCGAAGAUACCAGCUGGCUGCAACUGUUUAUUAAAAACACAGCACUGUGCAAACACGAAAGUGGACGUAUACGGUGUGACGCCUGCCCGGUGCCGGAAGGUUAAUUGAUGGGGUUAGCGGUAACGCGAAGCUCUUGAUCGAAGCCCCGGUAAACGGCGGCCGUAACUAUAACGGUCCUAAGGUAGCGAAAUUCCUUGUCGGGUAAGUUCCGACCUGCACGAAUGGCGUAAUGAUGGCCAGGCUGUCUCCACCCGAGACUCAGUGAAAUUGAACUCGCUGUGAAGAUGCAGUGUACCCGCGGCAAGACGGAAAGACCCCGUGAACCUUUACUAUAGCUUGACACUGAACAUUGAGCCUUGAUGUGUAGGAUAGGUGGGAGGCUUUGAAGUGUGGACGCCAGUCUGCAUGGAGCCGACCUUGAAAUACCACCCUUUAAUGUUUGAUGUUCUAACGUUGGCCCCUAAUCGGGGUUGCGGACAGUGUCUGGUGGGUAGUUUGACUGGGGCGGUCUCCUCCUAAAGAGUAACGGAGGAGCACGAAGGUUGGCUAAUCCUGGUCGGACAUCAGGAGGUUAGUGCAAUGGCAUAAGCCAGCUUGACUGCGAGCGUGACGGCGCGAGCAGGUGCGAAAGCAGGUCAUAGUGAUCCGGUGGUUCUGAAUGGAAGGGCCAUCGCUCAACGGAUAAAAGGUACUCCGGGGAUAACAGGCUGAUACCGCCCAAGAGUUCAUAUCGACGGCGGUGUUUGGCACCUCGAUGUCGGCUCAUCACAUCCUGGGGCUGAAGUAGGUCCCAAGG